UGGGGAAUUUUGGACAAUGGGCGAAAGCCUGAUCCAGCAAUGCCGCGUGAGUGAAGAAGGCCUUCGGGUUGUAAAGCUCUUUUGUCGGGGAAGAAACGGUGAGAGCUAAUAUCUUUUGCUAAUGACGGUACCUGAAGAAUAAGCACCGGCUAACUACGUGCCAGCAGCCGCGGUAAUACGUAGGGUGCAAGCGUUAAUCGGAAUUACUGGGCGUAAAGCGUGCGCAGGCGGUUUUGUAAGUCUGAUGUGAAAUCCCCGGGCUCAACCUGGGAAUUGCAUUGGAGACUGCAAGGCUAGAAUCUGGCAGAGGGGGGUAGAAUUCCACGUGUAGCAGUGAAAUGCGUAGAUAUGUGGAGGAACACCGAUGGCGAAGGCAGCCCCCUGGGUCAAGAUUGACGCUCAUGCACGAAAGCGUGGGGAGCAAACAGGAUUAGAUACCCUGGUAGUCCACGCCCUAAACGAUGUCUACUAGUUGUCGGGUCUUAAUUGACUUGGUAACGCAGCUAACGCGUGAAGUAGACCGCCUGGGGAGUACGGUCGCAAGAUUAAAACUCAAAGGAUUGNCGGGGUCAUAGCUGUUUCCUG
rnacentral:rRNA from 1 species